UCCUGGAGCCUGCAGAGCCUGCGCCAGCUCCCUGGCCCUGCCCGCCGUCAGGCAGGGGAGCAGGCGCUGCCCUGGAGCCAGACACUUCACCCAGUGUCCUGACGACCGUGGCGUCACGCAGAGCUAAGUUGAGAGGUGCCCGAUUCGUGACGACAUUUUGGCUGAGGCACGGAGCCCUCACUCCUCCUCCGUCCUGCGCGGCGCCGACUCCCGUGUCUUCCCCUGGCCUCCCCUCCUGGGCUCCCACCCUCCGUGACGGGGACCAAGAGAGACUGCAUCCGGAGUUCUGGACCAGACCGGUGGGCGGAUGGGAGGCAGGUCCUCGGGCCACACACACCACCGUGUCCAGCCUCGGGAAGCCUCUGGCCCCCCCUCAUCUGCCUGCCGGUGAUCCUUUACUUUAAAGCAUGUUUUUCAACGUCCCUUACACUGUGUGGCUGUUCCAGGUGGCAGUCCCUGGGGUGCCUCAGUUCUGACCCGGGCCUGCAGGCCAGUGGGAGAGGUGAGGAGUGGUCUCCGUCUGUCUGGAGGUAAAGAUGGGGUCUGGAGAGAGAUCUGCAGGCCGCUGCUGCGGGUCAGAGAAGGCAGGGCCUGGUGGCGCAGCGGCCCCAGCACUCCUGGCCCUGGCCCUGGCCCUGGGGGAGGGGGGGCAGGGUCCUGAGAACCACAAGGCCAGGGCCUGACCAGGGGUGGCCAGGGCCGGGGAUUCAUGCUGAGAACGUGCCAGUCUCUCUCCGAAGCAGAGCCACUAUCAGACUUGCAUGCUGGGACACGGGGGUACUUGGGACAGCAGGAACAGCGGGCAGCAGCCACCCAGGACGCAGUCUGAGGCCACAGGAUGCUGCAGGUCAAGGGCAGAGGGAGAGGUUAGCACGGAGGAGAAGGGGAGCUGCCCUCUCUGCACAGGAGCCCAAGCCAAGUAAACCUCACUACCACGUUGGGUCUCUUGAGGCUGGAGCUGGGAGGAGCCGUCCUGGAGCUGGUUUUACAGGUGAGGAGAGUCUGGUCUCACCACUCGAACCUUCUUUCAUGAAGCCAGGCGGGUCCCGGGCUAAGGGAUGCGGAGGUCUGUACCGUGUGCUCCCUGACCGUGUCUUGGGUUUGCCACCUGAGGGGGUGUU